rnacentral:rRNA from 1 species
GAUGAACGCUGGCGGCGUGCCUAAUACAUGCAAGUCGAGCGAACGGACGAGAAGCUUGCUUUUCUGAUGUUAGCGGCGGACGGGUGAGUAACACGUGGAUAACCUACCUAUAAGACUGGGAUAACUUCGGGAAACCGGAGCUAAUACCGGAUAAUAUUUUGAACCGCAUGGUUCAAAAGUGAAAGACGGUCUUGCUGUCACUUAUAGAUGGAUCCGCGCUGCAUUAGCUAGUUGGUAAGGUAACGGCUUACCAAGGCAACGAUGCAUAGCCGACCUGAGAGGGUGAUCGGCCACACUGGAACUGAGACACGGUCCAGACUCCUACGGGAGGCAGCAGUAGGGAAUCUUCCGCAAUGGGCGAAAGCCUGACGGAGCAACGCCGCGUGAGUGAUGAAGGUCUUCGGAUCGUAAAACUCUGUUAUUAGGGAAGAACAUAUGUGUAAGUAACUGUGCACAUCUUGACGGUACCUAAUCAGAAAGCCACGGCUAACUACGUGCCAGCAGCCGCGGUAAUACGUAGGUGGCAAGCGUUAUCCGGAAUUAUUGGGCGUAAAGCGCGCGUAGGCGGUUUUUUAAGUCUGAUGUGAAAGCCCACGGCUCAACCGUGGAGGGUCAUUGGAAACUGGAAAACUUGAGUGCAGAAGAGGAAAGUGGAAUUCCAUGUGUAGCGGUGAAAUGCGCAGAGAUAUGGAGGAACACCAGUGGCGAAGGCGACUUUCUGGUCUGUAACUGACGCUGAUGUGCGAAAGCGUGGGGAUCAAACAGGAUUAGAUACCCUGGUAGUCCACGCCGUAAACGAUGAGUGCUAAGUGUUAGGGGGUUUCCGCCCCUUAGUGCUGCAGCUAACGCAUUAAGCACUCCGCCUGGGGAGUACGACCGCAAGGUUGAAACUCAAAGGAAUUGACGGGGACCCGCACAAGCGGUGGAGCAUGUGGUUUAAUUCGAAGCAACGCGAAGAACCUUACCAAAUCUUGACAUCCUUUGACAACUCUAGAGAUAGAGCCUUCCCCUUCGGGGGACAAAGUGACAGGUGGUGCAUGGUUGUCGUCAGCUCGUGUCGUGAGAUGUUGGGUUAAGUCCCGCAACGAGCGCAACCCUUAAGCUUAGUUGCCAUCAUUAAGUUGGGCACUCUAAGUUGACUGCCGGUGACAAACCGGAGGAAGGUGGGGAUGACGUCAAAUCAUCAUGCCCCUUAUGAUUUGGGCUACACACGUGCUACAAUGGACAAUACAAAGGGCAGCGAAACCGCGAGGCCAAGCAAAUCCCAUAAAGUUGUUCUCAGUUCGGAUUGUAGUCUGCAACUCGACUACAUGAAGCUGGAAUCGCUAGUAAUCGUAGAUCAGCAUGCUACGGUGAAUACGUUCCCGGGUCU